UAUCUCUCUUGUUUUGCUUGUGUGUUCAAUUGUAGAAACAAUCGGUGCCAUCUGGCAGUCAUCAGCACAGCAUCUACACUGGACAAGCUUAAUCUCUUAGAUUUGAAUGGACAAGGCAGCCACAAGUACACAGCCCAGCUAGUGAAGCCCGUAAAAGGUGCAGUGAUGCCUGUAAAGAAGAAGAGGAAGCUCCCUGAUGCAGAUGAUCAUGAGCACAAGUGUAAAAU